UAAAGUUUAUAAUUUAUUUUAUAAACGACAAUGGAUGUGAUGCCAAUGUAAUUUGUAACAUAGUAAAUUAGGAGGAUCUUCGAUCACCUGAUGCCGCGCUAGUUACAUAUAAAAGCAUUAUUUAAUACAAUGACAAAGCCUAGAAUCAAUUGUAAACGACUUUUGUAACAGGCAAGGUGUUGUAAGUGGUUGAGCAGCUGCCAUACUGCGAUCCACUGAAGCUUAUCCUUUGCUUGAUGAUUCGA
rnacentral:ncRNA from 1 species